rnacentral:tRNA from 1 species
GCCCGAAUAGCUCAGUCGGUAGAGCAAGCGGCUGUUAACCGCUGGGUCGUAGGUUCGAGUCCUUCUUCGGGCG